rnacentral:rRNA from 2 species
GGAAGGAGAAGUCGUAACAAGGUUACCGUAGGUGAGCCUGCGGUAGGAUCAUUG